GGGCUGGUAGCUCAGUGGUAGAGCACUCGGCUUUUAACCGAUUGGUCGUGGGUUCGAUCCCCACCCGGCCCACCA
rnacentral:tRNA from 2 species